rnacentral:rRNA from 1 species
GACGAACGCUGGCGGCGUGCCUAAUACAUGCAAGUUGAGCGCUGAAGGUUGGUACUUGUACCGACUGGAUGAGCAGCGAACGGGUGAGUAACGCGUGGGGAAUCUGCCUUUGAGCGGGGGACAACAUUUGGAAACGAAUGCUAAUACCGCAUAAAAACUUUAAACACAAGUUUUAAGUUUGAAAGAUGCAAUUGCAUCACUCAAAGAUGAUCCCGCGUUGUAUUAGCUAGUUGGUGAGGUAAAGGCUCACCAAGGCGAUGAUACAUAGCCGACCUGAGAGGGUGAUCGGCCACAUUGGGACUGGGACACGGCCCAAACUCCUACGGGAGGCAGCAGGAGGGAAUCUUCGGCAAUGGACGGAAGUCUGACCGAGCAACGCCGCGUGAGGGAAGAAGGGUUUCGGAUCGUAAAACUCUGUUGGUAGAGAAGAACGUUGGUGAGAGUGGAAAGCUCAUCAAGUGACGGUAACUACCCAGAAAGGGACGGCUAACUACGUG